rnacentral:rRNA from 1 species
UGGGGAAUCUUCCGCAAUGGACGAAAGUCUGACGGAGCAACGCCGCGUGAGUGAAGAAGGUUUUCGGAUCGUAAAACUCUGUCUUUUGGGGCGAACGUGAGUAUGGUGAACAAUCAUAGUCAGUGACGGUACCAAAGGAGGAAGCCACGGCUAACUACGUGCCAGCAGCCGCGGUAAUACGUAGGUGGCAAGCGUUGUCCGGAAUUAUUGGGCGUAAAGAGCGCGUAGGCGGGAUAGUCAGUCUGUUGUAAAGUGCGGGCUCAACCCGUGAUGGCAAUGGAAACAGCUAUUCUUGAGUGCAGGAGAGGAAAGUGGAAUUCCCAGUGUAGCGGUGAAAUGCGUAGAUAUUGGGAGGAACACCAGUGGCGAAGGCGACUUUCUGGACUGUGUCUGACGCUGAGGCGCGAAAGCCAGGGGAGCGAACGGGAUUAGAUACCCCGGUAGUCCUGGCCGUAAACGAUGGGUACUAGGUGUGGGGGGUAUCGACCCCUUCCGUGCCGGAGUUAACGCAAUAAGUACCCCGCCUGGGGAGUACGGUCGCAAGACUGAAACUCAAAUGAAUUGACGGGGUCAUAGCUGUUUCCU